rnacentral:rRNA from 1 species
GUGCCAGCAGCCGCGGUAAUACGUAGGUGGCAAGCGUUGUCCGGAAUUAUUGGGCGUAAAGGGCUCGCAGGCGGUUUCUUAAGUCUGAUGUGAAAGCCCCCGGCUCAACCGGGGAGGGUCAUUGGAAACUGGGAAACUUGAGUGCAGAAGAGGAGAGUGGAAUUCCACGUGUAGCGGUGAAAUGCGUAGAGAUGUGGAGGAACACCAGUGGCGAAGGCGACUCUCUGGUCUGUAACUGACGCUGAGGAGCGAAAGCGUGGGGAGCGAACAGGAUUAGAUACCCUGGUUGUCC